rnacentral:rRNA from 1 species
GAUAAACGCUAGCGGCAGGCUUAACACACGCAAGUCGAGGGGCAGCAUAGAUUGUAGCAAUACAAUUGGUGGCGACCGGCGCACGGGUGCGUAACGCGUAUGCAACCUACCCGUCACAGGGGGAUAAUCCGGAGAAAUCUGGUCUAAUACCCCAUAACAUAUGGAUCGGCAUCGGUUCAUGUUGAAAUUUUCGGAGGUGACGGAUGGGCAUGCGUAGCAUUAGCUUGUCGGUGAGGUAACGGCUCACCAAGGCGACGAUGCUUAGGGGGACUGAGAGGUUUUCCCCCCACACUGGUACUGAGACACGGACCAGACUCCUACGGGAGGCAGCAGUGAGGAAUAUUGGUCAAUGGGCGCAAGCCUGAACCAGCCAUGCCGCGUGCAGGAUGACGGCUCUAUGAGUUGUAAACUGCUUUUGUACGAGGGUAAAGUGGGUUACGCGUAACCUUUUGAAAGUAUCGUACGAAUAAGGAUCGGCUAACUCCGUGCCAGCAGCCGCCGUAA